rnacentral:rRNA from 1 species
AACGACUCUCGGCAACGGAUAUCUCGGCUCUCGCAUCGAUGAAGAACGUAGCGAAAUGCGAUACUUGGUGUGAAUUGCAGAAUCCCGUGAACCAUCGAGUCUUUGAACGCAAGUUGCGCCCGAAGCCAUUAGGCCAAGGGCACGUCUGGCUGGGUGUCACACAACG